rnacentral:lncRNA from 1 species
UAUAGACACGUGGACACCUAUAAUGUCCAAAAUAUAGAACGUAGUACAGGUGUUGUGUCGGUGUCGAACACGGACGCUAGUCGAACACCGGACACGACAAAGGACUGGAGUGUUCGUGCUUCAUAGAUGCUGUCCCUUCUCACUGGUAUUUAUUUGCAAGAUCUUCGAUUGCAACCGGAUUUAAAACUUGGCACGUGUGAAACUGCAACUUAAAACUUGACACAUCUGAAACCUCAAUAUUAAUGGUUGCAGUCUUGCAAACACAGUUUGAAACUGUUUUCGACUUUGCAAAUCAAGCUAAUUGUGAUGGACAAUGUUCUUAUCCCAUAUCCCAAAUCAAAGCAUUUUGAUAUGCUGUUUUGGUGUCGGUGGCUUCCUCCGUAGUUUCGGAUUUUGGCCAGUUGUUCUGUUUUGUGUUAAUUUCAAUAUUCUUCUGUUUUCGUAAAUCAUAAUUUUGUAACCUCUUUACUUGCUUAUUAUUAUAUUUAUACUUUACAAGCUACCAAAAUUUGUGUCUUCUUCAACCUCUCUGUUCUCUAGUAUGAUUGUGAUUGUACCAUGUGAUCGAAAUUUCCUUUCCUGUUCAAUUCUUCAUUUACCUUCUUUUUAUUUAAUCUGGAUGUAAAUUAAAUGUAUAGUGUUUAUUUAAAAUUUUAUCUUAUUCUUAUCUCACCUUAUCACAAUAAUAAAAUAAUUUGGUGAAAGAUUUCAUCACAAUUUAAUGACUUUAUAGUAUUAUUUAAAUAAUAAUGUGCAAAAGCUUUCUGUUAAUAUCUAUUUAAGAUAGAUUGGACAUGCAAAUUCAAACUUUUGAAAUUUAUACUAGUUUUCAUUUUUUAUUUUUUAAAUAUCCUCCUUUAAAUAUAAUUCUAUUCGAAAUAGAUCUUUUAACAAUAAUUCGAAUAUUAUUAAGUCACCAUGUUAUGACGGUAGGUUUAAUUUAACUAUUUAAAUAAAUUCACAAUUGGCAUUUCCCAAUCGUGGUGGUAGGAUCAAUUGUGGCCAAAACGGCAUAUCAAAAUCUUAUCCCAUAUCCGAUAAUUUUGGUACAUAAUUGUGUCCAUGAUAUUUUUCUUACGUCCUAUAUAAUUUUGAAAACAAAUGAUCGAUUUGUGUAGCAAUGAUAAGCGCUCUUCGCGGAACCAUGUUAAAAAUUGGUGAACUUAUAUAAUUUUAAAUUAACCCAUACAUUCAUUUUAAACGAAUACUGAAUUUCACGCGUUGAGUAUGUACUUUUUAUUUUUGCCUUUUAAAUUUCCAAAUCAGGGUGGUUUCUCUAGUGUCAAACAAUAAGACAUGGACAGUUAUUUUUUACUUUCCAAAUUCAGAAAUAUAUUUUCCAUGGAAACUAUUUUGAUGUUAAAAUCAAUAAUUUACAUAUCAUUGUUAUCAUCACACUGUUUGUUAACUCUCCCUUUUUACUGUCCCUUCUUUUUUGUCUUUGUUUCUUCACUUCCUUCGAAUUGUUUUUUUCUGACAAGGCAACAAUCAUCACUAUUAAUAAGAGUUCCUUCCUUCACUCUCACCCAAGCCAAAGAAAGGAACAAGAACAAGAACAACAAAGUAACGUGAAAGAGAGAGAGAUGGAGGCGAUUGUUCCAGUGGUGGAUUUCCAGAGGCUUUCAGAGGAAGAGGAGCGCAAGAAGCUGAGAAAAACAUGUGAGAAACCAGGGUGUUUCAGAAUCAUCAACCACUCAAUUCCACUAACACUCAUGGCUGACAUGAAGUCAGUGGUUAAAUACUUGCAUGACCUUCCCACGGAAAUCAAAAUGCGCAACAAACCCUCCGUCCCUGAGAGUGGCUAUAGGGCGGCAUCGCCAACAAGUCCUCUAUACGAGGGCAUGGGAAUAUAUGACAUGCAUGCCUCACCACAAGCAUUUGAAGAUUUCUGCUCCAACUUGAAUGUGUCACCCCGUCACAGGUUCUUUAUGUUACUCUCAUUCAAUCCUUCUUUAUUUGGCUCCAACAAUAUAGAAUUUAUUUUUGUAUGCUUGAAAAUUGUUAUAUAUGAAAGUUAAUUAAUCACGUUUAAUUACAUAAAUUUUAAUUAAAAGUUAAUUUUCCUCCAAUUUAUAUCUUUUACUGGAACUUAGUAUUAGGAAUAAAAAAUAGUAUUAAAAUUAAAAUCUUAAUAAAUGAAGGUUGGUUUAUAGAUAGUAGCAUUAAAUGAGGUAAAAUUAGUUGAAAUUAUUUUAUAUUUGAAAUUAAAUGAUGUAAAAUUAGUUUUUUUUUUUUAUAUUUGAGGCCAGUAAUUUUCUUUUAUAUUUAAGAUCAAAGUAGCAUUUGUAUUUGUACGAGGGUAAAUAAGUAACUUUUUUCCUUUCUUAUGUUCUCUGAAUGAUCUUUUCUCUUCUCCAAAUGAUACUUGGCCAGCCAAGGAUGAGGUACCUAUAAAAGGUACUUCAAUGCUUAAGUAAUAAGAUCUCAACAGUGUUUUAUCUCGAUAUUCAUGUAAUUAUUUAUACACACGGGGUGGACAUGAGUUAAAUCAAGUCAAACUUUACUAGGUUUUCAGCUCGGCUUGAGUUGAAUACGCAAAGCUUGAGCUUGACUCAUUACCUAUCAUAGACUUUUUUUAGAGGCUCGGCUGGGCUUACAUAAAAGUCUGGUUUGGCCUACGAGCCUAUUUAAAAGCCUACUUAAAGACAUCUUUAACCAAUUAAUUGUUUUAAAACCUAGUGAAAUACUAACCAAAAAAACAAUUAUAAAAUUUUGUAUAAGUAAUGUACAAAAUCAUAUUGAAUUCAAGUUAUUAAAACACAAAGUAUAUCAAAAGAAAAUGAAAAAAAAGAACAUAAUAUUAAAAAAUAUAUGAAUUAGACAUGAUUUAUACUAAUAUAGCCAAAUAAAAAUAUUUAAAUUGUCUGAAAAUGUCUUUACAAAACAUUCUUUUCUUGGGAAGUAUUAAUCUGGUUGUAUUAUCCUUUUAAUUUAAGUCCUUUUCUUUUUGAAAAUUUUUCACAUGCAAGGGAACUCUCUAAGCACUUUAUGCCACUUCAUACUGUCAUUCAUAAUGCCAUAAAAAUGUUAUAGAUAAUAGUUAUUAUUAUUAUUACUUAAACAAGUCGGCUUGUCAAGCUUAACAAGUUUUUUUUAUAGUUUGACUUUGACCUUUUUAUCUAAAAAAACUUUUUAAAGAGCUUAAACUUGACCUUUAUAGUAAACAAGUCGAGCCGAGGCGAGCCUUAAAUAGGCCGAGUCAUAGGUCCUUGACAAGCGACUCAACUCAUUUUCAUCCUCACCUUAGUGGAUCUUCGACCUAUGAGUUUUUUCUCAAGGCUGCCUCUUUAGAUAAUGUAUAUGUAAUUGUCAUUGGGGAAUUGAUCUUAUCCCUAAUGAUACUUUCUCAAAUAAUCAGGGUGAUCUUUCUUUAUAAAGAUCAUCAUAAGUUGGAUGAGACAUGUUUAGUAUUCAGUUAGACUCAGUACCUAGUAAAGGGGUAUCAAGUAUUUGGAUAGGCCAAGGACCUGAUACUAUAGGGGAUAUCAGGUAUUAGGCUAGGGCAAAUAUCUACCCGGUAUAGUACAAUUAAAGAUUUUUAACCACAUGUUUAGAUUGGAUAAUGUUGGAGGCAAGGAAAAUUGGACAUAGUAUGAUUUAUUGAUUUUCAUCUAUUUGCUUGGUAGAAAAAAGAGGGGUGUGGAUUCAGUGACUUUGGAGGAAAACUCACUCAUUUUACAUCAGCCGAUUAAUUUGAUGGUUCAGAUUUUACCACUUGUUUUAAUAGAUCUUUUUUACUUAAAUUAUUAAUUUAAUACUUAUAUUUUUAUAUACUUUAAAAUCAUAAACAAUAUUAUUAAUCGUGUUAAUUAACUAUUAAAAUAAGAUUACCUUUAAUGAAAGAUAUACACGCAUAAAAAAUUAUAAAAAAAUGUUGUAGAUCUUAAACUGUAAAAAUUUUCAUUCUCGGUAAAAGAUUUUUUAUAACUAAAUAAUUAUCAGAAAUUUUUAGACAAUUUGAAUAAUACUAGAGAUCACUGGUUAAAUUAAAAUAACUUUACAUUAAUUAAUUUAUGCGCUCACCGCUCAGUAGUAUUUUUUAUAAUUUUAAAGUAUAAAAAAUAUACGAACCAAGUCAAUAAUUAAAUUAAAAGUAUUUUUUAAAAUAAAUGCAUGGUAAAAUCUAGACCAUAAAAAUUAAUCUAAUGGCUUAAAUGGGUGGAAAAUGAAGGUGAUUUUCCCGCUUUAAAGUCACUGAAUUCGAUUACAAAAAUGAGAGGAAGGGGUUACGAAAUUUCGUGGAUACUACCAUUAGGGAAAUCUUUCCAAUUUGCCUUGAACGAGAGAUGCUUUGUUGGUGCUAAUGUAUUUCUCUUUUAAUUUCUUAAAAUUAAAUAUUUUUAUAAUUAAUAUAUAUAUAUAUAUAUAUAUAUAUAUAUAUAUAUAUAUAUAUAUAUAUAUAUAAAGAAUAACAAUUUAAAACUCAUUCAAAGUUGGCCUAAUUGUAAGAGUUAGAGUAAUUAAUAUAAGGUAUUAGAUUUGAAGCUCAUUGUUGUCAUUAUACAAUAAAUCAUUGUUGUUAUUAUAUAAUAAAUAAUUGUGUCGUGAAGAAAAAUGAUGCAGCAAAUAUAUUUUUUUAAUUAGUAUAUAAAAUAUUUUCAUAUAGUUUUUUUUUCACUCUUUAUGAUCAUCUAAAUUAGUCAAGAAAAAAUUAUAUAUUUUAUUUCUCCUCUAUUUUUUUCAUUCUUACUUCAAUUCUUUCUAUUGUGCUUUAAAUUCAGAUAAAAAGAAUGAGCUUGAUAUCUUUAACAUUCAUUAAGUUGAUUUAUUUUUUCUUCAUAGGCAAAUAAUAAAGGAAUAUGGUCAAGCAAUUCAUGACUUGGCAUCAAAUUUAUCACAAAAAAUGGCUGAGUCUUUGGGUAUAAUGGAUAAUGAUUUCAAGGACUGGCCAUUCAUUUUGAGGACUAUUAAAUAUAGUUUUACCCCAGAUGUUAUAGGCUCCACGGGAGCACAAUUGCACUCAGAUACAGGAUUUAUCACUCUACUUCAAGAUGAUGAACAUGUUAGUGGUCUUGAGAUGAUGGAUGAUUUUGGCUCAUUUAAGGCAGUUCCUCCCAUACCAGGGGCCUUCCUUUGCAUUGUUGGAGAUGUUGGACAUGUAAGCAUAGAUUAACAAGAUAUUUUUAUGUAUUUGAAUCACAUUAGCUAAACCUUAUUUUAAUUUUGAACAUUAUGUAUCCACUAUAAAAUAAAUAUAUCUUUGUACAGGUUUGGAGCAAUGGAAAAUUUUGGAAUGCCAGACAUCGUGUAAUAUGCAAGGAAACGGGUACUCGUUAUUCAUUUGGUGCAUUUAUGUUAUCACCAAGGGAUGGUAAUGUUGAGGCCCCAAAAAAAUUGGUGGAAGUUGACCAUGUACAACGCUAUCGACCAUUUAAGUACGAAGAUUUGAGGGAUUUCAGAAUCACCACAGGAAAGAGGGAUGGCGAAGUCCUUGAUCAAUAUCGCAUUUGUUAGUCAUUUUAUGCAUCGAAAUACAUCGCCAAUAGAACUUUAUUUUGAAAAAUAAGUUGGCGAUAAAAUAAAUGUUGCAUCCAUUCUAAAUAAUUUAAAUAGUUUGGUGUCCUUGUUCGUUCAUGAAUCCUAAUUCGUCGUGUUUUAAUUUGGAUCAUGUUAUUGUAUUUUGUUCUAGUUGAGUUGUGUUACUAUUGAUAUGCUUGCUGUAGACCAAGGAAAGUCUAUAUAUGCAGCAGGUUAUGUGAUGAAUUUGAGUGUGAUCAUUAAAGUUGCCAUGGUUGAUAUCUUCAAACAAAAUAUUUAAUAAGAGUCCUUAGAUUUAUUAUUCACCAAAAUAAAGUCCUUAGAUUUAUUCAAAGCACUCUUGAGUAAUCUUGUUAGGGAACAUGUGAUGAGAGGAACGAGCAAAAAUAAUAUCAAUUGAAAUAGAGACAUUCAUUAUAAGAAAACUAUAUAACUAACAAGCAAGCUAGUACGGUUUUCUUCAUAACCAACCCAACACACCUAACAAGGAAGUGGUUGUAACCUCUACUUUAGAAAUAAGUGAAAUGAAGUGUGUGUGUGUGUUAAUUUACCGAUACAGGUAAAUAUAGAUAUAUAAGAAAUGAGUGAGCUUUUGUGACGAAAAUAAUCUUAGGUUUAAGACUUAAGAAAUAUGAUUUGAUGAGUGUAGAAAAAUAUGUUGAAACUUAAUCAAGAAGUAAUUGUAAAAUUUGAAUUUGUUGCAUCUCCCUAGGUGAAUAUAAUUUGAUGUGUAUGGUUUAAGUACAAAUCAUUGUAAAGUGUAGCAUUAAGGUGUACUUUAGAAAGUACCACUACUUGAAAAAUAUGUUUCUACAUCGGUUUUAUGGCACAUUAAAAGUCGAUUAUAGAGCCAACAAUGUGAAAAGUCAAAUUUUUUUAUGACGAUUCUUAAAAAAUCAUCUUAAAAAAAGUUGUACAUUCUAAGACGGUUCUCAAAAAAAUAAUCGUCUUAGAAUGAUUACAUUCUAAAAUGGUUUGUCAAAUAAUUGUGUUAGAAUAUAAUUUUUUUAUAAAUAAAAUUAAAAUAAGUAUAAGAUUCUAAGACGGUUUUUUAGAGAACCGUCUUAAAAUGUUUUUCAAACAAAAAAUGAAAUGAUUUUAAAAUUCAAAAACAAUUUUCUAAGAUAGUUAUUCUGAGAACCGUCUUAGAAUAUUUUUUUGUAUAAGAAAAUUAAAAAUCCAUACAGCUUAUUCAAUUCCUCUUUUCAUUUCACUACACACAGACGAUUAUUUGGGACUGUCUUAGAAUAUGACACGAUGAUAAACUUGUAAUUAAAAUACCCAAAAAUUGUUUUUUACAACUCACAUUAAUAUACAUUAGUGGUAAUUUUGUAAUUAUUAACAAAACAACAACCACACUUUUAAGAGAAAACCGCCUUCGUUCUCCACUGGGCGGACAGGUCAGGACCUUUGAUAUUCUUUGUUUCUCAGGAAAAUUGAUCUCACCCUAGUAGGAGCCAAUAAAAAUUUCGAACCCGUGAACUCUUUUUCUUACUAGAAAUGCAAUUUCUCUCUCUCGACGAGGGGGAUAAAGAGAGUGACAAUAUCGAACAGUGAGGGAAAGGGAUUGGCAAAAAUGACGGUAGUGGCGGCCGGCUCUGAUUGCCGGAUAUCGGCUCCGACGGUGUUUCCGGUGGUGCUGGUGUUGGUGCUCGGGAUUGUGCUGCCAUUUCUGUUCGUGAGGAUCACGAUCUUGAUUCUGGAAUCUGCUGCGGCGUGUUCCUCAUUGGGUAAUCUAUUCCUCCAACUUUUCACUUUCCUAACUUAUCUUUCUUAUUUUGUGUUCAUUUUCUUCUUUUCCUUUCACUUUCACAACAAUCUCACACUCUCAUCACACUCCAUUUACUUAAUUUUUUUCAGUUUAGUAAACGCGAAACUUUGCUUUUUCAAGUUUACUUGAACAUUCGUGAUUGAAUGAUGCGACUUUACUGUUUUUAAUUCUUUUUAGUUUUUGCUCUUAAAAGAAAAAGAAUAACCUGAGAAGAGAGAGCGAAUAUCAUUUAUGAAACGUGAUGUUUGAUUAUUAAGUUUAUCAGCUUAAUGGAGAAUUUGAGGUUAUAUUCCCUCAGUUUGAAUAAUAAGAUUAUAAGAGCAAAUUAACAAAAUUUGUAAACAUCGUUUGUUUGGCAGAUACGUGCUAAAUAAGCUUUCAAGUGAUUGGUUAUUCCACACACAGUAUAUUCUUUACUCUCCCUUUUUUUGUUUAUUUAUCCUUUGCAAAGCAUAAACUGUUUUCUCAUAAUUUUGGCAGUAUAUACAUGUUUAAAUGAUUUUCUCCCCAUGAAAUUAAUUGGAUUUUUUGUGUUUUGCUUUAUACUGAUUCUCAGGAAGGGUCUUACUUUACCACCAAGUACCACAGUACGUGCUUCACUUACAGGUUGCGACUUACUUUUAUGCUAGAACUUGUCCUUUUUGUUUUGAAAUAGACAAAUAUAGUAACUUAUGUUUUUUACUUUAUUUGCAAGUAGAUGUGAAACCUGGUGUGUCCUUGGAGGAAAAAAAACUACCCAAAGGAGAAACUUGGUCUGUUCACAAAUUUGGUGGAACCUGUGUGGGAACCUCUCAAAGAAUAAAAAAUGUUGCUGACAUAAUUCUUAAGGAUGAUUCGGGGAGAAAAUUGGUGGUUGUCUCUGCAAUGUCAAAGGUGAAAAAUAUGAUGUAUGACCUUAUCCACAAGGCUCAAUCACGCGAUGAGCUUAUAUAGCUGCAUUGGAUUCUGUUUAGGAGAAGCACAAUGCAACUGCACAUGACAUACUUGAUGGACAUAAUCUUGCUAGUUUCUUGUCUAAAUUGCAUCAUGAUAUUAGUAACCUUAAGGCAAUGCUUCUCUUUGAUACUCUGUUCUGUUUUCUCUUGUUCAGUUAUAUCUAUUUCUUUUGUAAAUCGUCAUUUGAACCUAGGAUGUUAUCUUCAAGUUGUCAUUGUUUAUUAUAAGUUGACAUUUAUGGCUUUCACUUUCUGGUGUUGUUUUCACAUUGUAAUGGUAUUGAUGUUGAUCUAUAUUGCAUUAGCUAUGUCUUGGUUGCUAUUUUAUAGUAUUGAUCAUUGCUUAUGUCUUGGACACUAUUGUAUGACCAUAAUAAUAAUAUUAUGGUAAGAAUAUUAAAUGCACAGUUCUACUCUACUUUUCUACAACUUCCAAAAAAGGUCUGUCAUUUCAAAGGAUUGGAGUUCUGAUAUUUAGUUGGGGAGCCUUUCAUGUUCAGUUUGAUUUUUGUUUUUUUUCUGUAAUGUAACUAAUCAUUACCAAUGCUUUGGAUGACAGUGUUGGAGCGUAGCAUCAAUACACUUUUUCUCACUGAAAUGGUUUGAGGUUUAAUGCUGACACUGAAACACUUCUUCGAAACAAAAGUUACAGCAAGUGUCUUCUAAAACUUGUUGCUGGCCAAGAUUAUUGCAACUUCUUUUUAAAUGCAUGAUUUUUAAUGCAGAUUAACAAUCCUUUUGAGAAAGGCCCUUUGAGCCCCCGUUUCUAUGGUGAACAUGCACUCCGAUGACAUCCAAUAGGGGAGGAACGUUGCAUUGCUUGCAAACUUUGUGAAGCUGUAAGUCUUUGAUUGUUUAUCCUAUAGUUUUGGUUUAACGAUCAUUGAGACCAUGCAUUCUACCCAGCAUUGUCUAUCCAACAGGGGAGGAAUGUUGCAUUGUUUAUUUACUUUGAAUUUUUUUCUUUAUUACUGUACACUAGUACUGCUUCAACAUUAUACCUGUAAUGUGGGACAAACAUAUUAAGCUAGUAGAGAGUAGGGAUAGAAGCUCAUGUACAUAUUAAUUUAUAGGAGGCCAAAGCAUCUAGUAGUCCCUAAACAAUGAAAUUACAAUAUUUUUUUAAAAUGAAAUAUUAACCUAAAAAUUUAAGUUUAACAUUACGGAUAAGGUUAAUAGUUUUUUUGUAAGAUGAUUAUUAAUUAUUAAUAUGAUUAAUAUGAUACGUUUUUUUAAGAUGAUUUUAUUAAUUAAUUUUUCAUCAUUGAUUUUUUUGUGUUACUACAAAACCUUUAAUAUGGUUCUAUUAUAUUGAUGCAAAGUUUUAAUAGAAUUAUUUUAUUUUUUAAUGUGGAUAAUGAAGUUUCAUAAAUUAGUGCUUGUGAAUUGAGGAACGGUGUUGAACGGUCCAACGAUAACAAGAAUACAAGAUCGAAUGCAAGUAUUAUAUAUGCACGAUGAAUGAAAAUGAAAAAAAAUAUAUUAAAUUGUAAAUAAAAAAAAGUAUCUAAGUCAUAGAUUAAUCAUUGUUGCACUUGCUUCAACACUAGGUAUGGUAUUGAUGCCAUGUGGUAUUAAAGUACCAGAUCCAAAGUUUUGCUUCAACACUAGGAAUGAUUAAGUGAAAACCUCAGUAAAUUUUGUCUUCUAUCAGAAGAAAAAUUGUUAUUCAUUUUUCAAAGAGAUAAGGACGUUAUUCGAAUUUCAAUUACCUAGUACAAUUUGUAUUUUGAUAUAUUCGUUUUUAUUGAUAUACUUUUGCUUUAUUUGGUGGCAGAAAAUGUAUACUUCUAUUUUGUAGACACAACUCCUUUUGUUGAUAAAUACUUCAUUGAGAAUAAAGGCCAUAGCUACGAUUGGAGAGGCAUACUACCCAGGAAGCGUUACAUUUCUAACCUUCUCAAGUUAAUUUUAUUAUGAAUUCAAAAAUAAUAAUUAGUAUAUAUAAUUUCAUAGCAAAACAUUUAAAUGUCAAGAAAGAUAAGCCCUCCUAUAUUUGAUAUCCUUUCUUAUCAUAUGUAGUUGUAGAUAAUUCUAGAUAUAUAUUUUUCGGUCGAAUGGGAACUUAUUUCUUCACAAGAAAAUGAAAAUGGCAAAAUAUAUAUUAGAUCGUGAUUAAAAAUAGUUUUAUGAUUUAAUUAUCAGUAGAAGUCAAACUUCUUUCUAAAGGCAUAAAGACAUAUGUCUGAAACCAAGCAACAAUAAAUGCCACGCAUGCACAUAUGCAUUUUGCAUCUUUGAUAUCCAAAACUUGAACGAGACAUUGUAAUACAGGGCAGUUUAGCCUAUGCGUUAAACUGUGUUUUUUUAAUUUUUUUUAUUAAUUAGUUUGAUGUUAUCAAUUUUUUAAAUAUAUGAGAAUUUUUAAAAAAAUCACAAUUUUUUUUUACAUAUGAAAUUGUUUUAAUAGAUUUUUUAAUGAAGUGAUUACUUGAUGACAAAAAUUAAAAUAAAAAAAUAAAAAAAUAAAAAUUAAAACAAAAACCUUUAAAAAUAGCUAAAAUAAAAACAAAAACUCUUAUUUAUAGGACCAAAACGUUACUUAAGAGAAAAAAAGAUAUAUAACAGACGUACUAAUAAAAAAAAAUUUGCUCUGCCAGACGUACUAAUAGUAUAUUAAUGAAGAUUUUAUAUAAACUAACAUAAAUGCAAAGGCACAGUCUGAACCAUGUUUCACUCCUCUCUACCAAACAUACAACAACGAAAUCCAUAGUUCUACUAAUUAUGGAUUUUAAAUAAACUAAUUAUGGAUUUUGUUGUAGUACUCUUGAAUGAAAAAUUGUGUCUGCUUCUAAACUGAAAGGUCUUUCUAGAAAUUUGAUUAAAGCAAUAUAUGAAUGCAUUUUGGAAAUGGGAUUAUUUUUUGUGUUUAGUAUAUAGGUGAUCUUGUUAGAUGUUUAUUCACUACUACAAAAAUUCGAUUUAACAUCGAGAGAUUAAUAUCAAUUUUUGACAAAAUCGAUGUUAACAUAAAUGCAGUGGCAUAAUGGUAAAUAAUGUGUUUCUGUUAAUAUCGGUUUUCUUAAAAUUUGAUGUUAACGAAGUGACGUUUACAUCGGUUCUUGUAAAACCUAUGUUAACAUUAAUUUGUUAACAUCGGUUUUUCCAAAACCGAUGUUAAUAUCUCUUCGUUAACAUCGGGUUUGAAGAAAACCGAUGUUAACCUAUGUUCGUUAACAUCGAUUUUCUGAAAAUCGAUGUUAACGUAUGACCAGUUAACAUUGGUUUCUUGAAGAAAACCGAUGUUAACGUUAACAUCAUUCUGUUAACAUCGGUUUUGUAUUGAAAACCAAUGUUGGACUUACAUUUUAAAUUAUAUCAUACGCGACCUAUUUUGCUCGCGCUCUCUUCUUCUCCAUGUAACCUCUCUUGUUCUGCAUCUAAGCUUGUUGUUCUCCAUCGCGCUAAAGACCGUGACAACUCACUUUUUGUUGUCCAUCGCCAACUUACCUAGGUACAUUUCGUCUAAACUUCAUGUCUUCAUUGUAACUUACCCAUGUUGUUAUAUUGAAAACCUAAGUCUGUUUCAGGAACUCGAGGUUAACCCAAGGACCUUUUUCAGUUUCUACUGCAAGGAUUAGGGAACUCAUGGUGACCUGAGGUAUGACGUAAGCUUCAUGUCUCCGUGCCAUUGUCAUUGAUCUCACUGCCAGUCUCGCUGCCAUUGUCACUGUCGGGUUCGAGGUAAGCUUCAUGUCUUCAUUGUAACUUUGUGCCUCCGUGUACGUGCUAAAUUUGAGAAGCAAUGUUGCCUUUUUCCAACUCAUGAGGGAUACAUAGACAAUAUAUUUAGAAAUGUUGCAGUAGUUUUGUUUAUUUCACUGGCUCAAUUUUAAUUCAAAUAAAUUUCUUUAGUACCAAAUUACUACGCUUUUUUCCAUAUGCUUCAAGCAAACAUAUACACCAACUUCUUUUUAUCGAUUUAACUUUGGAAACAAAUGUUCUCAUUUGAAAUAAUCAACAAAAAAUACCUAUGUGUACAACUGUAUAUUUUGCCAAUAUAAGUUGUCAUUGUUUUUCUUCAUCAAGAACUUAGUAUAAAUUCCAGUUAAUGUUGUUUGAUUUAUAGUUUUCAGUCAUUGAUUGAUGACUUUGAUUUACAAGGUUGCUUCAGGAGCUCGGGUUAUAAUCCAAUCUAAACUAUAUUGAGACAGAACAAGUAACAACUCUUAAAAUAUUUUUGUUUUAGAGGUUGGACAGCUACCAAAACUGCUAGUUUUUAUCUUUUGUUUGAAUGAAACAUGAUGAUGGUAUAUAUUUAUGUAGGUCCUUGAUGAUGGUAUAUAUUUAUGUAGGUCCAUGUGAUAUAUUUAUGUAGAAUAAUUUUAUUUUUUUUGCAUGUAUUGCCUAGGAUUAUUUGCUAUCAAGAUGCCAAAAGUUUUGACACUAGUUAAUUAAUUUCAAUUUUACCUUAACACUUAACUCUUUAUUGUACAAAUUUUUGUAUGAAGAGAUAUAUUCUUUAUGUAGGUCCAUGUGAUAUAUUCUUUCUCUUUAUCUCUCUUCAUAACAUUGUGGCCAUCUUAUUACAUACUUCCCAGUCUUCUCAUCCUAUCUCACUCUUUAUUGUACAAAUUUUUGUAUGAAGAGAUUUUAUGAAUACAAUUUCUCAAAGCAAUAAUGAUAAGAAAGUACUCAAAAUUGGAUUUCAGUGCAGGUUGAGAUUGUCACGUUAUUUGAUGAUGAUAGAAUGAGUGGCUUCUUCAAAUUUUAUGGUUCUGAACCAAUUGAGGCAUAUAUACGAAAAAGAAUCCACACACACUUGCACAAAUAAAAAGAACAAAAAAUCCACAGCAACAACCUUAUCUCUGUAGUCGUCAACACCAAUGGGCGAGAUCUGCAUAACAAUUCUCUUUUCCUCUUUUUUUUUCUUCAAUUACCAUCAAUGUAUCAUUCUGGGUUCUGAUUUUUUUUUUGAAUAGGAAGAGAAAAAACCAGAGGAAAAAAAAGUGGAGGAGAAAAAAGCAAAUGAAGAAGAAAAGAAAGAAAAAGAGAAAAAACCAGAGGAAUCAAAAGAUGACAAGGAAUCCAAGGAGGAAUUUGCACCGCCAGAAAUCGUGCAAGGCACAACCUUUGCAAUGCAUGGACACUUUAAGCAUGAUUUUUGGCAUCUUUUAAGUUAGGGACUAUUUUGCAACAAUUAUGCAAAAGAUAUGGACUAUUUUGAAUUUUUCAUUAAAUUAGGGACUAAUAUACAACAGGGGUACAAAGUCAGAGACUAAAUUGUCUAUUUACUCGUUUUGUUAUCAUUAAAUGACGUGACAUCUUUUAGGAGACACGUCCGCGUGCCAUGCCACGCCAUCUUUUAGUGUCAUGUUGGAUAGUCCACGUGACACUAAAAUUGACCUCACUAACGGCGUUACUUUAAAAUUUAAUGAAAGAAUUAUUUUGCAACACUUAUGCAAAGAUAGGGACUAUUUUGAAUUUAAUAUUAAGUUAUGGACUAAUAUGCAAAACGGGUACAAUCUCAGAGACUAAAUUGUCUAUUCACUCAUUUAUUAGUAUUUAUUCAAUAAUAUAGCUGAAUAUAAUAUAUACUGCCUGGAUUGAGUUGGUUUUGGCCUGAAUUGGUUUUUUUUUUAAUUUACAAGUUUGAGUUCAUUUAAUAAAUAAACAAAAUAUUAAAAAAAAAUAUUCAUUCUCCCCAAAAUUGAUGUUGCAAGUACUAUACAAUAUCAGUUAUGCCAAAAUCGAUGUCGUAUAGCACAACAUCGGUUUUUCUAAAAAACCGUUGUUGUAAGUACUAUACAACAUUGGUUUUGGUAGAAGUGAUGUUUUAUGAUUUUUUUUUAUUAUUUGCUACUACUAUACCACAUCGAUUUUGGGAAUAAUCGAUGUUGUAUAGUAAAUUUCAACAUCGAUUUUUAUAACCAGUAUUAAAAAUAACCUACUUUUAAUGAUGUUUGUUUCAACAUUUAUUUAAAACUGAUGUUGAAUGUUCAAAAUAACCGAUUUGAAAAACAUUAUUUCUAGUAGUGUGUAGUGUGUAUAGGUUAUUUCUUUAUUAGUACUUUACCCUUUUUUUAGAAAUGCAUUAUUGUUCCUUACAUUAAAGUAUAUUAUUUUAGUUUAAUUGUGCAUGGUUUAUUAAUGAUUGAAGUUUUGCAUAACAAAUUUAACACCUCAUUAACCAUCCUAACUUGCUUAGUUGAGGCCUUAACAAAUAAGAGGCAAUCACAUGCAAAAAAGAGGUGAGAAAUAGAGGGCCCAAUCCUAGAAUUUUUACAAGUUGCCAAUCACCUGAAUCAACUUUUUCCUGGAUCAAAAUAGCAAGUUUUUCCGUACACAACAAAAACAAAUAGAGAGACAUAGGAUCACCCUAACCCAUACCUCUGUGAGGAAUAAAACUAUCAAGCUAAAGCAGAAUUAUUCCAUUUAAGAGCAUAAAAGAUAGAUGAGGUGCAAUUUAGAAUCAAUUCGAUAAUCCAAUUUUUAUUCUUCUUUUAUCAUUUGUAACUUUUUACAUUCAUUUAAAGAACAUAUAGAAGCAAAAAUAAAUUCUUGGGGAAGCAAUUGAACCCAUACAAUUCAACAUGGAUCGAUUUCGUAAGUUCUAUAAAUUGCAAAUUAUACAAAGCCAAGAAAGUGGAUUUAACUAUGAGCGAAGUUGAAGUAUCCUCCAACCAAAUCCAACGAUCAUUCCCUUGACUUCCCACUUUCAUAUUUUUGAUAAUGCAAGAAGAUAAAUCAUUCCGUGCAAUAAACGCCUCCAUGGUAUUAAUUUGUUGGAGAUAAAAUAUCAUAUGGGUCACAAAAAAAUAUAGCAAUUUCACAUUAGUCUGUGAAAGUAAGAAAAUUCAAAAAUAUCCUUGAAAGUGUAAUCCAUUAACCAAUUUAGUCCAAAGUUCAAAAGCCAACUUGCAUUUAAGUUGAAUAGAGUAUUCAAGUUGACGGUUCAAAUAGAGGCAUCGGUCUUAGUUCUCCUAUUCCUUUUCCAGCACGUCCUCAAAGAAUUUCUACUGGAAGAGAAUUAUUCUACCAGUCAUUAAUCUUUCUAGCAAAAAUGUGUUCAAAAUGCACUCUUGUGCUCUAGUUUAUUUGUCAACCAUGAUUUCCUUAAUCUUGGGCUUUAUAUGAUUGAAAACUCAACAUCAAAGAGUUGUAGGUUUAAAAUUCAAAUGUCUGGUUCCAACAUAUUAUUAAACUAUUAGAAGUUUUGACUGUGUUACAUUGUGCAAUAUUUCUAUAGGUAAUUUGUUAUGCACAAAAUCUUGACUCUCUCUUCAUCAUGUAGGAGAUGGUCUUUCAAUCUUGAGGGCAUAACUUAAAAGUCAAAAGAAUCAAGUUAAACAUUUGAAAAAAGAAAGUCACUAUGGUCUAGAAGUUUGGAGGAGGUAACUUUAGAUUAUUACUGUACAGUAAUGAUUAUAAUAUCUUAUUCUCGUCUACUGGACAUGUUUUAUCCUUUCAUUACAUUCUAUCCAUGUAUAAUGCAAUAACAAGUACAAAGACUCUAAAUUUUUUUAUUGAUAGAGGUGUGUUCUUUUUGAGCAUAACAUACAUGGAAAUUUGAGAAAAGUAUAAUAUAAUUCAUAAUCUAAUGGAUCACAAGCAAUGUAUAUGAAAUUAUUAUUAUUAGCAAUUUUAUCCUGAUAUUAAUAUAAUUAUUAGCUCUAUUAUUAUUAUUUCAGAAUAUAUGAAAUUGAAAUGACAUAUGACUAGGAUAGAAAUCUGAGAUUGAUUGAAAGCAAUGUAUAUGAAGUUUUUAAUUUUCUUUUUUUAAAAAAACACAUUCUAAGAUGGUUCUCUAAAAAAUCGUCUUAGAAUGUUACAUUCUAAGACAAUUUUUUGGGAAAACCAUUUUAGAAUCCUCAAUAUUUUUAAUUUUUUUUAAAAAAUCAUACAUUCUAAGACAAUUCUCUGAAAAAAUUUCUUAGAAUGUCUAUCAUUUUAAGAUGGUUUUUACCUAAGAACCAUCUUUAAAAUGUUUUAUUCUAAGACAGUUUUGAGCUAAAAAUCGUGUUAGAAAGAUAGCAUUUUUUAAGAUGAUUUUUAUGGGUUGGCUACAACGACGGUUAAUAACUAAUGGCGUAGACAACUUUUAACCGACAUAGAAUGACUUUAUUCUAGCAGUAUAGGGGAUUCGAAAGUUCCUAAGUUAUACUAACUAUGGAGAGCAGUUUUCCAGAAUAAUAUUGUUGGAGAGCAGUUUUAUAUAAUUUCAUAAUUUAACUCACAUUCUUGAUUAUUAACAUUUAAAUUUUUGUAUUUCUUUAAGAUAAAAAAAAUCUCAUGAAACUUUGUUAUAACAUACUUAGUUGAUGUUAUGUAUUCCACUACUCACUUGGACAAAACAUUAUACCUAUAUUACCUAGUUAACUUAUAAAUGUGAAUCAUUUGAUUUAAUUUCAAGAAAAUAACUUUAAGGAAUGGAGGUAAUUGGUGACAGAAAUUAAGUGUUUCACGAAAGUUGACAAUGACUUUAGGUUUAGGACCAUGCGUUAUUGUGUCACGUUUGAAACUAUCAUUGAAAUGAGGUUAAUACUGAUUCAUGUUGCCAAUGUCAUUUGUAGAUUUGGAUUAAUAAAUUACUUUAGAACCAAAAAAGAAUGAAUAAAUUGCUAAUAGUUUUGAAGUUAGUUAUGAUUUCUUUGUGUUUGCUAUGUGACUAAUAUAAUAUAGAACAUAUGCAUUAUUGCCUUCAUGUACUUUUUAUUUUGUGUAUAACCUAUUUCAAUUUUGAUGAUUGAAUGACGUUUCCUGCUUGUAAUAUAAUAGGUGACAAUGAAAAAAAAGUUAAAAAAAGUCACAUUCAAAGACGGUUAUCUCACAAAAAUUGUCUUAGAAUGUGACACAUUUUAAGAUGGUUUUAGCGAGAUAACUGUCUUUAAAUGUAACCCCUUCUAAGACGAUUUUGCCGCCAAAACCGUUUUAGAAUUGGCACGAAAAUCAUCUUUGAAUGUAACCCCUUCUAAAACGGGUGGUGAACCAUCAUCAUAUAUUCUACAAUGUUGCCUACGACGACGGUUAAUAAGCAACGCUGAAUGUGUAAAUUAACUAACUUAGAAUAACCUUUCUUUAGUAGUGCGACUUUUCCGAUUAGAAAUCUCUGUCGAAAAUCUUGUUGACCACCUUUAAUGGGAUCUUCCCUUUUAAUCAGAUUUUUUUACAUUUAUAAGAUUUAAAUCUGAGACCUUACUUAAAGAAAUUGAAUUCGGUACUACUCAGAUCAACAAUUUGUUAGUAUAUAUUGUUGACUGGAUGUCAUUUGAGGCCUACAUGAAUUAUUCAAAAUUGUAAUGGCAAAAAGAUAUAACUAUGAAGAAUGAAGGUGAUUUUCGGGGGCUUUACAUGUGAUAUAUAUCGGCCGGUUGACAGGAGUGUGGACACUUCAUCAUAUUUCAUUUAACGAGUUAUCUUGGAUUUAAUGAGAUGGGAUAUGUUUAGAUAAUGGUAAUUACAUUUUAGGAGAUGUAAGUGGAUGAUUUAUAGUUGUUAUUGCUCAUGUCCUCAAUCUUAUUGUAUGAUUGACACUUUUGUAUAUUGUAAGAUUUGGGAUCUGAAUAUUGAGGUUCUGUUUUGAGUAUAUGAAUGAUAGAUUUUGUAAAGAAAAUAUUUGAUAGACACUUAAUAUAUUAUUCAAUACUUAAAAAGAGUAAAAUAAAUUAUAAAUAUAAUAAAAUUUAUAAUAUGAUGAUAAAAAGAAAGAAAUAAAAAAAUAAGAAGUUUUUAGUGAAAUAUUUAAAAUAACGAAUAAUUUAUGUAUCAUAAAUUACUUAUUUUGUACCGUGGGAACAUGAUGGAUGGUUACUUUAGGCUAUAAUUCUUGUAUACUAACACACAUCUAGCUUGUGAUGUUCUUUAUUUAUAAUUAUAUAUAUAAGCAAUAUAAUAUGAUAUUUUGGUAUACAUAUUUUUAUGUUUAUUUUAUCUCUUUAAUUACAUUCAUAAAUUAUUAUUUUAUACUUGUAACUACUCUCACAAACCCCUCAUUAACCUUUAUUAUUAUUUUUUAUUUAAAAAAAUGAAAAAAGCAGUUAGACACGAAUUGUCUGUUUUUCCUAGUAAUAAUAUUAACAAUUUUAUGUUUGCAGACAAAAAAGAAACCAUGUUUAUGUAUCUGCGUUUCCCACGUCUAACAAUAAUUUAUACAAUAUGAUUAUAUGCACCAUGUUAAUAUUAUAAUAUAUAUAUAUAUAUAUAUAUAUAUAUAUAUAUAUAUAUAUAUAUAUAUAUAUAUAUAUAUAUAUAUAUAUAUAUAUAAUUAUCCGCAACGCCAACGAGUAAUAUAUAAUACUAAUAUUUCUAAAUUAUUAUUUAUUUUCACUAUGCACCGUGCUAAUAUAUAUAGAGACUGACUGAUUUUUUUUAAUAAAAGGAAUGGGAUUUAUUAUUUAAUUAUCAUCCAACUAAUUUUUUUUUUCAUAUUGAACAAACUAUUUUGAGGCAGGAUUCAUCCUGAAAUCUUGGGGUUCAGAUAAAAUAAUAAUAAAAAUGUCCACAUAUAAAUAUUUUACAAAUAUAUAUAUAUAUAUAUAUAUAUAUAUUUUAUAUUAUAAAAAAAUAGAUUUAUAAUUUGAGUAAAAUAAUGAGGAAUGUUAGAGAUAUUUUCUCAUAUAUUUUUUUUAUUAUUAUAUGAUAUCGGUAGAGAAUAUUCACCAAUUUUGUUAAUAAUGAUCACUCUCCACUCAAAAAUUUAAUUGGUUAUUUUUAGUGAAGUUUUUAUUUUAAUAAUUAUUUUUUCAUCGAUAAUUAUUAAACUUAAAACUUUACUUAAGAACAUCUAACUUAAUUUCACACAUACGAAUGUUUUGUUAAUAAACAUUUUCCUUUUAUUACUUUAUACUUGAUUGUAAUUUAUUAAAAAUUAUUUAUUUUAAUAAAUCUCAUUUUUAAAUAGGUAAUUUUUAAUUAAUUUCAACCAAUCAUAAUAAAUAGUGUCAGCAAAAGAACAUGCUAACAUUUUUUUUUAAUGAUACCGAUCUAUCAUAAUAUUUAUUAUUCACAUGUUACUAUCUAUCAAUUAGUUUACACCUGCAAGAAAAUUAUUCACACAAAUAUUUAUAUAUAAAGACACCCCAAAAAAACAAAUAUACAUAAUAUGUAUAUAUUUCUCCUCUCCGCUUCAUGUUUUUCUUCCCACCGAAGAUGAUAUACCUCUCUAAAAAACUAUACAACCAUCAUUUUUAAAUAUUUUUAAGUUCUCUCAAAGGUUUUUAUAAAUGUUUUUUUAAUAAAAUUAAAGAAAUAUUAUUUCAUUGGUUGAAACAGAUGAGUGGAUUGGGUUAAGAAGCAAAAGAAUUCGCUAUCGCUGGGACAGUUUUUGUUUGACAGCACAGCACUCGGAAAUUUCUGGCGAUCUCUGCGUUUUCCCCUAUUUUUUCUGAAUCUAACAACAAACAUUCCUCUGGUGCGCAUUUCUCUUCUUCCCUUUCCGAUCUAUUAUGCAUGCAUGCUAUUCCAUUCCAAUUCCACGCCGUUUCUUGCGUCCCUUUUCACUCUUUUCUCUGCUUAUUAUUAUUACUCCCAUUUUCCCCUCCUUCGUUAACCUGCAAAAUUACUAUGAAAACAGUGCACUGCACCUUAACUAGAUUUGGAUCUCCCCUCCUUUUGAAACCGAAUUAAUUGUCUUUUCGCCAUCGGAUACAAAUUUAUUUAUUGUAUCAACUGAAUUUCGAUUCCAUGCUAUGCUGGUUAGCUCUUCUAGGUUUUUUAUCUAAGAAAAAAACAAACAUAAUAUCAACGAUUUCAGAGAAGUUUGAGUAAGGUAAUUAAUCACAGUGGUUGAUAACAAACUGAAUGGUUGAUCUUGUAAUCAAACGAUUUUGAUUACUUGCUUUAGUCUAUAGAGUGAAAUUGUUCACUUUAGAGGAGUUGGAUCCAAAUUUGACUGUGUAAAAUUUGUGAUUCUGUAUUUGGAUGAUCCCUGCUUUCCUUUAAUUUCAUUUUUAAGUUUACUGUCUUAUGAAGCACUGACACCGACAUGGACACCGGACACGACACACAUAUAUAUAUAUAUAUAUAUAUAUAUAUAUAGACACGUGAACACCUAUAAUGUCCAAAAUAUAGAACGUAGUACGGGUGUUGUGUCGGUGUCGGACACGGAUGCUAGUCGGACACCGGACACGACAAAGGGCUGGAGUGUUCGUGCUUCAUAGCUAGUGUCCCUUCUCACUGGUAUUUAUUUGCAAGAUCUUCGAUUGCAACCGGAUUUAAAACUUGGCACGUGUGAAACUGCAACUUAAAACUUGACACAUCUGAAACCUCAAUAUUAAUGGUUGCAGUCUUGCAAACACAGUUUGAAACUGUUUUCGACUUUGCAAAUCAAGCUAAUUGUGAUGGACAAUGUUCUUAUCCCAUAUCCCAAAUCAAAGCAUUUUGAUAUGCCGUUUUGGUGUCGGUGGCUUCCUCCGUAGUUUCGGAUUUUGGCCAGUUGUUCUGUUUUGUGUUAAUUUCAAUAUUCUUCUGUUUUCGUAAAUCAUAAUUUUGUAACCUCUUUACUUGCUUAUUAUUAUAUUUAUACUUUACAAGCUACCAAAAUUUGUGUCUUCUUCAACCUCUCUGUUCUCUAGUAUGAUUGUGAUUGUACCAUGUGAUCGAAAUUUCCUUUCCUGUUCAAUUCUUCAUUUACCUUCUUUUUAUUUA